UACAGAGGGGGCAAGCGUUAUUCGGAAUUAUUGGGCGUAAAGGGCGCGUAGGCGGCUUGGCAAGUGGAUGGUGAAAUCCCUCGGCUUAACCGAGGAACUGCCGUCCAAACUGCUUUGCUUGAGGCCGGGAGAGGCGAGUGGAAUUCCCAGUGUAGCGGUGAAAUGCGUAGAUAUUGGGAGGAACACCAGUGGCGAAGGCGGCUCGCUGGACCGGUUCUGACGCUGAUGCGCGAAAGCGUGGGAAGCAAACGGG
rnacentral:rRNA from 1 species